rnacentral:rRNA from 1 species
UACGGAGGGGGCUAGCGUUGUUCGGAAUUACUGGGCGUAAAGCGCACGUAGGCGGCUUUGUAAGUUAGAGGUGAAAGCCCGGGGCUCAACUCCGGAACUGCCUUUAAGACUGCAUCGCUCGAAUCAUGGAGAGGUCAGUGGAAUUCCGAGUGUAGAGGUGAAAUUCGUAGAUAUUCGGAAGAACACCAGUGGCGAAGGCGACUGACUGGACAUGUAUUGACGCUGAGGUGCGAAAGCGUGGGGAGCAAACAGG